GUUAUGGUUUAGAUGGAAUGAUCUAUGUGCAAAUGUAUUUAUGGCCGGAGGCAAAGUACAACGAUGGCCUGUCUCAGAGACAGAAUGUUCCCAUAAGGGAGAUAGGAGUCAUAUGAUAUCGCUUAUACCGUAGAUUGUGAACUAUUGCCCUAUAAUACUGUCUUCUAGCUUUCAUGAUAUUCACUUGAGUAGGAAUGGGUCGCUUAUUCUCAAAUAGCUGUUUGUUUAUGAGUCCAGGUAAUUAACAAUGGACUGAGGCAAAGUGCAAUAAUGUAUACUACUGAUAAGAAGACUGGGAGAUGUGUGGAGGAGUACGAAAGGUUCUGGACUCGGGAUGGGUGGAUAACACCACCUGCCUAGACACAGAGAUUCAUUGUACAUCCUAGACAAAGGAGGGGGGGGGGCUUGUCAGGGGAAACAGAGGGCCAAAGUGAGGAUGACAUCGCGUGGGAACCCCUCCUAUAAAACCUGCAGCCUGAUGGGGGAUGUCUGGGUACAAGCAUGAGGAGGUAUUUUGAGCCUUGAUUCUUGUGGACCCCAGCAGAACAGUAUCCAAAGGAACCGGAAGGAGGAAGAGAGUCAAAAUCUCCAGCUGAAAUGUCAUUAUCAGUUGUACAACAGGAGGGGUAAUGGCAGACAGGGGGGAGUAAAAGGGUGCAUAGUGUGAUUAUAGGUUUGAGGCCAUAAGUCUCUGAGGUGUAAACAUCCAAAUCAACUGAGAAUAUGAAUUAUGUUUUCUUUUCUGUUUAUUUAUAAGUAAUUUCUACGUUUUUAUUUUUUUUUAAAUUUUACUAGGUAAGUCAGUUAAGAACAAAUUCUUAUUUUCAAUGACGGCCUAGGAACAGUGGGUUAACUGCCUGUUCAGGGGCAGAACGACAGCUCGGGGAUAUGAACUUGCAACCUUUCGGUUACUAGUCCAACGCUCUAACCACUAGGCUACCCUAAUUGUUGAACAGUAUGGAGAUACUAUUAAAAAAAGAGGGACUGUUGGAUUGUAGCUUGAAUUAUACUUAUUCCUGUUACCAUAUGAGAACUUAUUGAUUAUUUGACAUGUAUAAGGAAUGUAUAUGUCGGGGUCAAUGAAGGGUGGAUAAGAAUUUGGUGUAUGAAAAUUUACUGAGUGAGACAAGGGGGAAGUGCAGAAAGUAAAUCUUUUGUUCGUAAGGAGGGAGGCAAAGGGCAACAGUCUAGUUAGUCUCUGAUAAGGCAGACUGGCUGUGGAACAAGGGACGAGUGAGGAAUUCGACUCGAGGUCAAGUCAACAGAUGAAGUAAGAAGAAACCUUGGGGAAGGAGGCCCACCACAAUGACUCUCCUACUAUAGUUCUACCUCAUAUACAUACACUUCCACACCCACGAAGGUUCUAGCAUCAGGCAGGGCCAUGACUACCCCAGUGAGAGGAACCAAUAAGUUCCUGCCUAGCAACAGAGAUGUAUUGGCUGUCUAGAUGUGUAAGGAGUUGACCCUGCCUAGUAGGAGGUUAUAUGUGCUUGUGUAAUCAUACCUUGUCUUUGCAGCUGUAUGACCCAGUGGGUGAAUAAACUUGGGUUUGAGCUUU